UGUACUUGCUUCACGUUGAGCCUCACGCACAAUACCUGAAGAUGAAGUUUUGUUCGUUCGGCUCGCGUUAUGCAGGU
ensembl:miRNA tni-mir-375 tni-mir-375